rnacentral:rRNA from 1 species
UACAGAGGGUGCAAGCGUUGCUCGGAUUUACUGGGCGUAAAGCGUACGCAGACGGUGAGAAAGGUCGGAUGUGAAAGCCCCGGGCUCAACCCGGGAACUGCAUCCGAAACCAUCUCGCUAGAGUAUGGGAGAGGGAAGCAGAAUUCCUGGUGUAGAGGUGAAAUUCGUAGAUAUCAGGAGGAAUACCUGCGGCGAAGGCGGCUUCCUGGCCCAUUACUGACGUUCAGGUACGAAAGCGUGGGUAGCAAACAGG